rnacentral:rRNA from 1 species
AGUGAACGCUGGCGGUAGGCCUAACACAUGCAAGUCGAACGGCAGCACAGUAAGAGCUUGCUCUUACGGGUGGCGAGUGGCGGACGGGUGAGGAAUACAUCGGAAUCUACUUUUUCGUGGGGGAUAACGUAGGGAAACUUACGCUAAUACCGCAUACGACCUACGGGUGAAAGCAGGGGAUCUUCGGACCUUGCGCGAUUGUAUGAGCCGAUGUCGGAUUAGCUAGUUGGCGGGGUAAAGGCCCACCAAGGCGACGAUCCGUAGCUGGUCUGAGAGGAUGAUCAGCCACACUGGAACUGAGACACGGUCCAGACUCCUACGGGAGGCAGCAGUGGGGAAUAUUGGACAAAGGGCGCAAGCCUGAUCCAGCCAUACCGCGUGGGUGAAGAAGGCCUUCGGGUUGUAAAGCCCUUUUGUUGGGAAAGAAAAGCAGCAGGUUAAUACCCCGCUGUUCUGACGGUACCCAAAGAAUAAGCACCGGCUAACUUCGUG